AAUGCACCUGUCAUAUAUCAGCUGUUCUUCAUAACCUGUUCAAAAGAAGUCAACUGCAUCCAGGUCAGUUGACCCUGGAAUUUAAUGGUGAUGAAGGAAGCUACUUGACUCUUUGCUUUCUGAGCUGACAAAAGCUGGGUUCUUCACUGCCUUACCAGCUUCAUCAAUAGGUUUGGGCAUGAGGGGGAUGACUAGAUCCCUAUAAGGGUAGCAGCAGCUGGACACAGUGACCAGACAAUGUUUAAUGGAAGCCUCUGAGCAGGACCCCAGUGGGAAGGGAGAGUCCCGGACAGGUGGAUUGCAGUUUCAUGCAGGAAUAAAUGCGUUGCCCCCUGAAAACUCAUAUGAAUGAACGUCUCAUAAAUUUUGCACUCGAGAAACUCUGCUUGUAUCCUGUGGUCAUAAAAAAGAAAUUAAAUCUGCAUAUAACAUUCAGGAACCUGUAAUUCUGCUGCACAGCUUUAUGCCUACAUAAAUCAACGCCUGUCAUGAAUAUUGCACGGGCCCUGCAGCUGCCUGACCCACGUGAUUUUAAAAAGAUAAAUAAAAUGAAAACAAAGCAAUAUUCACAGAGAGGCUUCACAAACAGCACCUGCUCUUUGAAAGCUUGAAAGGCCACAAAUAGCAAACUAGGAAAGGCACAGAACGUAAAGGUCUGUUAAAGCCUAAAGGUUGUGCAUAUGUUUGUUUUCCUCUUGCAAUGGUGGGAGCGUGCUAGGAGUUCUAAUACACGGAAUAUCCUCCGGAGGGAGGGUAUUGUAAUGGGGAAGAAGGCAUGAUGACCAUCAAGCCUUGCAGAGGGCAAGGAUCUAUGGGAAAAGCUAUUCUACAGAUUUUGGGGAGAGGGCAUAACUUGUAGAUAGAGCUAGUCAGGAAUUCAUCGUUGGAACGUUUUUCUUCAGAAACUGCCGAUUC